CACUGGCUCACUGCUGAUCACUAUUUGGAAGGUAUCAUAUCCAUAGGAUACCAUAAGGACUCUGUAUAGAUUUCUGCAUUUUUCAACUGUAUUGUGACUUCUGAGGUCCUCCAUGUGUGCAUGAAGUUGCCGAUUCCUCUUUUUUUCAUACGAAUGCUUCCCUUUUGAGCUCUUCGUAAUCUGAGUUACCAGAUUCACAAGGCUGACUUUAUGCCCUUAUUUCACGCCUCAUUGAUGUUUGGAAGCCCACGUAUGAACCUAUUCGGCCAAUGAUCUAGGCCUAUCACUCUUUUGGAUAGACAUUAUUAUCUAAGACGCACCCCUGAUGAAGUCUAGUUCCUAGACGAAACGCGUUGGGUUACUGUAUUUCUUGUUGAUGUUAUCUCCGAAUAUUUAAUGAGGAAGAAUAAGGAUACAACAGAAAGGUUGCCUUCUUUCCUCCAUAUCCCAUUGAUGGAUUUCUGUAGGAGAAACUACAUCAUAAUGUACAUGUAAUAAUGAUGGAUAUACUUCAUGUUUCUGUAUAAUUGUUUUAAUAAUUUUUUAUGAAAAGUACAGUCCGUUAUGUGUUUUAAAAACCUGUAUAAAUAUUGAUUGCAAAUCCUGUUAAGCAAUAGUCUUUGUAUAAGGGUAUUUGUAAACCCCUGGGGCGCCAUUUUUCCUCUUUUUCUAUACUCUAUUUUCUUUGCUCAGUUCCUCCUAACAAGGAACUCAGAGGAACCAGGCAGCCCAUCCUAGAGAUAGCUAUACCUAAUCGCCUAUUUUGAAACCAAUUAGCGCAGGAGGAGAGUGUUUGUGGAGUAUAUAUAUAU